GCUAAAAUAUUGUUAAAAAAUAGGUGUAAUUGGGUAAUCGGGCGGAUCUUUACCCGAACCCGCCUGAUUACCCGCUCUAGGAAAAGUGCUGGAAAAAGCGCUCAUCCAAGAGAGCUUUAGCGCACUUUAACUUAAAGCCUUUAAGCGUGCUUAAAGCGGCACUUUCAAAAUUAUGUUAAUUUCAACACAAUUAACUCUAACAAUCUGGUCUUAUGUGUCGAUAACCCUUUCAUUUCAAAUAAAAAUUUCAACUUUAUAAAAAAAAUGAAUAAUGAACGUAAUGUAUGAAUGAAAAUUGGGUGGAUGUAUAUAGAAGAAUUUAGAAUGUCAACAUCUAGCUUCUUCAUUCUUGAAUUUUAUGGCUUAUGUGGUUUUCCAUUAUUUAUAACUCAUCAUAAUAUUGAUAUAUUUAUAGUUCAUCAAAAUCUCUAACUCGUCUACUCCAUCUAUAUUCUAUAACACAGUCAGACAUCAGGACAGGUGACAUUACUGAGGCUUGCCGAAAAUUCACCAAACAUUCACCACCAUGGACUCUUGGUCGGAGAGAAACAGACACUUAAGACAGCACACUUUGAGGCCUCCUAUGUUCCUACUUCAAAACAUAUUUAUCAAUUCUAGCCUCUCCUUUAGAGCUGAGCUCUACAAGAAGAGAUGUGGCUCAUAAUUGGAAGAGGUGAUUGUGCAGGUUUGGGAGACAAACCUCCUGCGGCAGUACCAAGCUUUUGCAAUAUGUUCCGUUGCCUCCCUCCCCCAACCUCCUAAAUCGGCAAAUCCAGAUCUUCCUCCUCUCUUCUCAUCUCGCCGGACCUUUCUGUUCACCUCGCCAGAAUAUCAAGAUUUCCACUGGUCUGGAAUUUUAAUCUCGUCUGGAAUUUUUUUCAUCUGGAAUCUCGUCUGGGAUUUUUCCACUUUCCAGUCACCGGAGGUUUUUUUCAUCUCGUCUGGAAUUUUUCCAGUCGCCGUAAACUUGAAAGUUGAAACAAACACUUAGUUAGAACCAUAGUUCAAAAAGCGACGCUUAAGCGUCGCUUUAAGCGAAAAAAGCGGCAAAGCGGUUUUUUUGGACCGCUUUGCCAAACGCUUUAUUCCAGUGGGUACUUGGGUCGGGUCGGGUCGGGUAAACAGGUUGGGCCAACCCAUUUACCCGUGUAGGGAUAACUUAAAUAGUUUUUUUUUUGCCCUUUCUACCCUAACCCUCACUUCCACUCAAACCUCUCACCCAAACCCUAGACCUCGCCGUCGCCCUCGCCGGAGUUCGGCCAACCGUCGCCGGAGUUGCGUUUCCAGCCGUUUUCUCCCUGCAUUGGUAACGCCUCUCAUUGGAAACUUCUUUCUUCAUAGUUUUGAUCUCUUUCCCCACCUUGAGGCUGUCUGAAAUGGGGGAAAAAGAUGGCCGGAUUCCGGCCAUCCUCGAUUUUUUUUUUUCAUUUUUUUUUCAACAGUGUCAUGCCAGCUCUUGGACGAACUGGUGUGUUUUUUUUCAACGAGUUUGAAAUAGGUUAGCCGGAUUCCGGUCAUAACAGGCCGGAUCCCGGCCAUCUUUUUUUUUUUUUUUUUUAAUUUUUUUUUUUUGCUACCAGGCCUAAUGUCUAGUGAUGAGGAAUACUUCGUCGCUAACGAUCUUAAUGACACCAGCAGCGACGACGACGCUACGCAAGGUGCUUCGGACGAAGAAACACCUUGCGAACCUAUGCCUCCUCCGCCUCCACCUCCGGCAGUAGCGGAUCCUCCGGCAGUAGCAGAUACUCAGGCCGUAGAAGACAAUACUUUAGUAUACCACCAUUCCAUUAAUCCGGAAUGGUUGACAGACAAGACAAGACGGCCAAGUAGUGGUGAUCCCGGAUGGAAGUAUGGGAUCCUUGCCGACCCAACAAAAAAUAAAUAUGCAACUAGAUGUUUAUUUUGUGCUCAUGUUUACAAUGGUGGAGUGGCAAGGUUGAAGGCGCAUUUGACCGGCGUGUCAAAUGCGAAAACGAACGUCACGAAAUGCCUUAAAGUGCCAUACCAUGUGCUUCGAGAGUUAGUCGAGCAUAUGAACUCGAAGAAGCCAUCAAUACCAGUACCAGUUAUUGACGUUGAAGUGUCUACGAAAGAAAGCAACAAAAGAAAAAAGUCUAGUGUGGCAUCUACAUCUAAUUCUGGUUCCGUGAAGGUAUACGGAAGCUUGGGUUUAGAAAAGGGACAAACUAUUGAGAGCAUUGUAACGAUAUUUUUUUUGUAGUUACGUGGUGGCGUACUUAUGGAACUUCCACCUUAGAACUAAGAAAAUUCGCAAUGCGAAUCUUAGCUCUCUGUGCCUCUGCAUCCAGUUGUGAGAGAAAUUGGAGUUUAUUUGAACACGUAAGAACUUAAUUACCAUUUGUAAAUUAGGGUUAUUUAUCAGAUAUUAGGUCAUCACCAUAACCCUAAUAUACUAUUUGCAGAUCCAUUCGAGGAAAAGGAAUCGAUUGAAUUCCAAAAAUUUGGAUCGUCUGGUGUACAUAACGUACAACAGGAAAUUAAAUGAACGUACACAACGACACCGACAAUUGGAAUUGGAAGCGAAUGGCAAAUUCGAUCCCAUAAGAGUAGACUCAAUGAACUUCAAUAGCGAGUGGAUGACAGGCAUAGAAGGGCCAUGCGACGAGUUCGUCUACACCGAGGCAGAUGGACUAACAUGGGAGCAGGUGGAGGAAGCUUCAGGAGCUGCUGAACAACCGGGACCGUCAACAAGGAGUGGGCAAACCCGUGGAUAUACUUAUGAAAGACAGAGGACUUCAUUUGCAGAUAUGGGAACUGAAUCCCAAUAUCGUUAUGCCAUGAACGAAAUUGCGGAAAUUAUCAGAGAGCCUCUAGAUAAUAUAGAUAUGCCAUGAAGUAGAUGCUCGUAUAGAUGAUCAGACUUUAGAUAAUGAUUUUGUUUUGGAUGAUUCAAAUAACUUGGAUGUAUUUGUUUUGGAUGUGUAUUUUUAAGAUGAUAUGCAAAAAUUAUCAGGUUUAUAUAUAUUUUUUAGGUAAUUAUACAUGUACAGGUUUUGGAAAAAUUAUAUAUAUAAACAGGGGUAUAUAUGCAAUUUAUAAAAAAAUUGCAAAUAUUUACACAUAUGCCACUACCGCUUUGACCGCUUUAAGCGACGCUAAAGCGGUCAAAGCUGAAAAAGCGCUCCCUGGAAAUUGGGAGCGCUUUCCGCUUUUUCGAACUAUGCCUUGAUAUCAAAAAUAUAUAAUCAACUACUGGUCUAAGAAGCUAACUGGUUAGCCAGACCCGAAACUGGUUACCAGUUAGCCAGUUUUAAAACAUUAAUUCAUAGUACACACUACAGAAUACAGACUAAAAGAAAUCGCUAGCAACAAAGAAUGCAUUCAGAUAUCGGAAACUUGAAUUUUUAUGUUUUGGACAAACCUUCUCAAAUCUUUCAGGAAGAAUGGUCAGACCUCCAUUGUCAACAGCUUCAAGAGCCUUCUCUGCCAAAGGUUCCAUUGUUACAAACCACUGUUUGCUCACCAAUGGUUCAAUAACCUACUUGUGCAAAAAGAGAAAAGAUUCAACAUUAUGAACUAACGAAUAUAAUCCCUAUGUAUUUAUCAUUUGAAAUUUUAUACUACUGAAAUUCAGUGAUAAUAAUAUCAGUUUAUACUUCUCCUCCUCGCUGUGAUCUUGGAACUCUUAAAGUGUGUGGUUCCAUCUUCACCGCUAAACCAGUCUCCAUAAGUUCAGCCCAUAAUUUUUUUCUUGCCUCAAAUCGAUCCAUGCCACUAAUAAAAUGUGAAUUUGUCCAUGUUAUAUGGAAGGUUUAUUUUUGAAAGAGAGCAGUUAAAAAAAUAAAAUUAGGCUUACGAGUACAAUCCUGCAACAUCAUUCAAAGUUCCAUCUUUGUUCAUCACAUUAAGUAUUGGCAGACCAAGCUUUCUUGCAAGAAGAUAAUCAUUGUGAUCGUGUCCAGGACUUAUCUUCAAUACUCCAGUUCCAAAAUCUUUAUCAACAUGCUAUGGAGACCAAAUUAUAAAUAGUUAGAAACCAAUCAAGGACUAUGGAGGUAACUAGGCAAGUAAUAAAAGUUUAAUGUGGGCACAUUAUAUAAUACUUUGUUACCCUCUAUACAGAAAUCAUAAUAUAUAUUUAAAAACAAAAGCCUCUAUGAUGGAAGUACGGGAGACCAACCUCCAAAGGCAGCGUAUCUAGUUACUGUAUAACUGGACUACAUAACUAAUGGAAGAAAGUCAACGAGCUUCUUGCUCAUUUCUUUUUACUUCUGUUUUUUAUUUCUAUACUCUAUAUAAAUUGGGCAUUGGCCUUAUUUUUUUUAAUGAAAUUUAAUUGCUUCAAAAAAAAACACAUGGAUUUGAAAAUUAACAAAACAAACUAAAUACAAAAUAACCAAUACUAUCUUGAUAAUUAGAGUAAUUAUUUUGAAAACAUCACAAUAAUUUAAAAGAAUCUCAAGCUUGAAAAUAUUUAUUUUAGUUUUUAAGAGUUCAACCUCCAAAAAAGAAAGCAUGUAAAAUAAACCUGUUCAAAAAACGAAUUAAAAAAUGGUAUCAAAAUAACAAAAAAACUUACCUUAUCAGAUAUAAUAGGAAUAUGUCGUCCAAAGGUCUGUGGUACAAUGACCUGCCUCCCAAUGUAUUUAGAAUAACGGUCAUCCUGUACAUUAGAGAUGAAAAGAACAGGUAGUUUAAUGAAUGUGUAGACUGUAGAUACCAACCAUUCUUGCUAAGAUAGAAUGAUAAAAAUUAUAUAACUUCAAAAUAAUAGAAAUUUAUGAAAUAACAAAUUAUAUAAUUAGGCAGAGUACAUUCUUAUGAAUUAAAAAAAAAAGGAAAAAAGAACCAGACAAGAAAAUGAGCUAAUAUGUAAGUAUUUAUUCUAGGUAGUUUUUUAAGCAAUUAAAGUUUUUUAUUAAUACCAAUGAAGGACAGUGUCCUCCUAAUCACAUAGAGAUAAAAUGAAUUACAUAAAAGAGAAGCAAACAAGGAAAUGAGCUAAUAGCCCAGUGACUCUUUCCAAUUAGCUAUGUAAAUUAUAAACUAAUAAUAUGGUAACUAAUACUAAAUACGCUGCUUCAGGAAGUUGGUCUCCCAUACUUCCGUUGUAGAUGUCUCUCUGAGGAGCGGCAAAAACUCAUCUUGCGACAUUCUGGUCUGAAGGAGAGACUGAUAAUCAGAUAUCCUUGAUUAUUUUCUUAAAAACAACUUUUUUUUGCAAGUAUUGAUUUUUUUUAUUAAGAGCAAUGAAGGGAGAUACCAUGAAGUUACAAUAUAGAGGAGUGAUGCGUGAAAUAAAGGGAGAUGGGGAUUCCAUCGACAUUUUCCUAUUUAGCAUUUACACCUAGUGGCCUAAUAACUAAGUGUGCUGCCGCAGGAGAUUUGCUCUAAACCUGCAUUGUCACCUCCUAUAAUUGGCAGUGAUCUGAUGAUCACUCUUUCUUCAGAUUGCAAGAUCUGACGAUGAUCGUAAGCACACUCUCAUCAGAUUGAUCAGAUCAGUGUUCUUCCAGCAAUGGAACAGUGAUUCCAGAUUUCAGAUCUGGGAUCCAGUAGAGAAGAAAUAGAGAGAGAAAAUAACAGGAAAAAAAAGAGACAAGGAAUUUUACGUGGUUCCACCAAUAUAGGGUGUACCAUCCACGAUAGUGCACUAGAAUGAUGGUGUCUAAGCCCUAUUACAACUCACAUAGCUUAUUCACAAGUUUAAUACAAGAGGAGCUAUUUAUAGGAAUUAUUUUGGGCCAAUCCCAAAAUAAUGACUCUUUAACUGUCCCUGUAACUGACUUCUUAAAGGGAGGCCCUCCACACUUGUAACUUCCAAUUACAUUAAACCUCAAUACUAAUUGUGAGCCACACCUCUUCUUGCAGAGCUCUGUUUCUUAAAAACAACUUCAAAAGGCCUAAGGGUGUGUUAUGAUGUUAUCUGAAAUUCUGAACCUUCUAUUCCUCUGCGUCGGUGCGUCCAUAUAUGUCAAGAUAAACACUCGAUAGCAUAGUUUUUCAUACGAUCGCCUAGGCAAUCAUGUGACCUAGCGCAUGUAGGCGAUUGCCUUCAUGCGCUAGGCAGGUUAGGCGGAUCCGGUUGGAUCCGCCUAACCCAUAUACCCAUUAAAUCUUAUAAAAAUGAGGGAAUAGGGUUUUCUGGUUGGAUCUGCCUAACACAUAUACCCAUUAAAUCUUAUAAAAAUGAGGGGGUUAGGGUUUUAAAACCCUAUUCCUUCAUUUUUCUCCCAUUUUCUUCUCCUUUCUUAUCCUUUCUCCCAAAUUUAAAACCACCUAUUUUUUCCUCCCACCUCCUUUUCAGGUCACCUCCUCCGGUGACCGGAGACCUACACCUUCGGCAAGCUCCAACGAACUUUUUAGGCGUCGCCUAGGCGACCUAGGCAUUCAUGCGGCCAGAUCCAUCGCAUGAACGCCUGGCCGCAUGUAAAACCAUGCUCAAUAGUAUUCCAUAGCAGUGCACAAGGAGGGGAGUGGUGGGUGAAUUUUUGUGCAGCCUCGGUUAGGUCCCCCCAUUAUGAUAUACAAGCUUGUUUGGGUGGGGAUUGGGAUGUUCAGUAACCUCCAGAAAGAGAAUUUAGAUGCUCUGCCAAUGAGAUUAGGAGCGAUCUGGUAUAUGGGCAGUUGAAAAAGAGGUGGGUUUUUUCCUACAUGUUGCAUAAUAGGCAAGUAGAGGGGAAUGGGAUAUGCAUUUUGAUGAUACGAGUUAUGGUACAAGAAAUCUUACUAUCGAACGAUAGCACUUCCACUAUACAGGGAAUCAUCAUAUCAGAACAAGAGGUUUAGGACAAUGUUAAAGGCACUUAAUCUUGGAAGCUCGUACGAUGGACAACUGACAACAUGCAUGUUAGCCAAGCACUUAAAGGCACUUAAAUCCUGGAGAGCUUGGCCAACAUGCAUGUUGUCAAUUGUCCAUCGUACGAGUUUAUGGGGUUCAAGUGCCUUCAACGUUGUCCUAAACCUUUUGUCCUGGUAUGAUGAUUCCCUGUACAAGUAUAUGUAUCAUCACACUCCCCAGUUCCUCAACUUCCUAAAAGUGUUUAAAUGAUCUCAUUUCACUCUCUAUAGGAAAAUGGAUAACUUUGUUGGCAUAUUAGGAAAAAUUCCCUUAGCUAAUUGAUCUUUAUGGCUUCUAUUUUUAAUGCUUUUGACAAUUCCCCCUAAAUUCUUUAUAGGAGUAUUUUACCUCUAAAUAUUAAUAUUAUUAGGUGACUUUAGGUCUAAAAUACAUACAUUUAUCUACUGGAAUAUUGUCUGGAAUGAAUGCUUUCCAGAAAUGCGAGUCAAUGGAGGGCCAAAUUUGAAUUUUUCCAAGGACUUUCACCUUAAUAUACUUAUCUUGGAUCCACUGCAGUAGGAUAGAAUCACUCUUGUCAUAGUACUUUGAGGCUAUUUUAAUGUUGGAUGCAGCAGUGAUAAUUGGGAGAUCUCUAACUCCCCUCAGACUUGAGGAGAAUCAUUUGGGACCAUAGGAUCCUUUUUUUCUUCCAUCCCAAAUGAAUUUAUAGGCCAACUCUCUUACUUUUUUUACUACUGAAUCAAGGGUGGCUAUGCCUUUUGUCCAGUAGGUACAUUUUCCAUCUGCUAUCCGAUUUACUAGCUGGAUUCUACUCCCAUAGAAGAGGGUCAAGAGGCACUUCCCACUCCAUCUUGUUAGGAGUGCCUCUAAGGCUCCCCCCAUGAUUUUUGAAGGGGGUGUUGGUGAUCUCUCAAUCAGUACUGAGAAGGAUGCUGAGGCCUGAGAAAAUUGUAUUCCAAACCAUUUUACUGAAUAAUGGAGGCAGAGCACAUUGCCUCUGGUGUGGAUUGAAUUGCCUCCCAUAUAACAGUGUCAAGUGCCUCCAGCAAACGGAGCAAAGUUGGUAAGACCUUCAGUGAUAUUCGCUAGAUUCUAGGUGGUUUAUACUUAACAGUUGAAUUCAGGGUUUUUUCAAGCAAACAUCGUUUAUAAAAAAAUUAAAUAUUUUCCGUUUGAUAAUUUGAGAAAUUGCCUUCCAAUUUAUACUUGAUUACUUGGAAUAUCAUAUUUAUGAUUUACUGAUUUUUUAUAAUAUUUCUACAAAACAUAUCAAAAUUUACUAUGACUUUAGGUUUCUAGGCAAUGCUUUGACUGCACCUAAGCCUCAUAAGGUAAUAAGUUAGCUAUCUCUAUCACCUUCAGCACCUUAAAAACUGAUAUAAAAAAAUAUUAUGUUUAAACUUGAUACUGAAAUACAAAUAUUUUACCAUAAAAUGGUUGUUUUUCUUUAAAAAAUCAUCUUACAUAAGGGUUCACGGCAAUAGCUGUAUCUCCAAACAAUGUUUCUGGACGUGUUGUUGCGAUUGUCAAAUAAUCAGUGCUUCAUCAAAGAAGACAUCAAUGAAAACUAUAAGUCCUUUGUGUCAAAGAUAGGAUAUGCUCAACUAAAUACAAAUUUUGAAUUAACAAACAUACACUAGUAUGGUGAAUUGAUGAUAAAUCAUAUAUAUAAAAAGAAAAUGUGACAAUAAAGAAGCUAUAUGGCAUUGUAUGAUGUACUUUAGUUUGUACCUUGAACCACCAGCGAUACGAUAUUUUAUAUGAUAGAGAUAACCCGAUUCUUCGAUAUAUUCGACUUCCUAAGGAAGAAUCAACAAGAUUUACUACUGUCAGAUUUAAACACAAAAUGCCCAAUACAACUCUUGCUCUUAUUAAUAAAAAACUCAAUUUCAUCAAAAAAAAUUCUAAUUGUCCAAUGUCCAACAUAAAAAAUUACUAGAUAAACUUCAGAAUUCAGAUAAUGUGUAAAAACAAAAUGAAUAUAUUUCAAUUUCAACUUCUUUUUUUGAUGUAGCGUUAAUAUAUUAGAAGCUAUUAAACUAUUGUGUUAAUAAUAUAGAUUAAUGUAUAUUUAAUCUGAUAGUUAUAGUAACUAAUUAGUUGGCUAAAUUUUAAUAAAUCGUUUAUCACGGAAGGUGUAGUGCGAGUGAUAUGAUUCUGUUACUUAAAACUGUAUAUAUGUUCUAGACUAUGCAAUUUAAAAUGUUUUUUUAUAAAAUUAAAUUUUUCAUAAAUGAAAUAGUUUGGACAUGGCAAAAUCCGAUUACAUAGAUAUUGGUGAUAAAAACUGUAUAUAUAUUCUAGACUAUGCAAUUUACAAUUUGCUUUACGACACUGCAUUUUCCCAUUCUAUUGUACUUACAUUUACUGAUAAUAUUAAACUCACUUUUUUUAGUAAUUUUUUUUAUCAUUAGAAAUAAAGAGCAAUGAAUUACAGAUUGAAAAUACAAAAAAUCACAUUUUAAUUCAAGCAUGAUAUAAAAAAAAGAAAAAAAGAAUGGCACGACUGUCAAUUAUAAAUAACAGAAAACCAACUUACCAAAUCAGAAACUGCAGUCUGAAGUUUGGGAGACCAAUUGACCAUAUAUGAUCCUGAAAAAGAACAAACCAUAAAUAUUUAUCAAAUAUUAAGUUAACAUCUAGCAAAUAGCAAUAAAGAUGCAGAAUAGACUCUCAAAUAAUAUAUUUUUAAAAUUUUAAAUUAUUUAGAACUUCAAGGAAUUAAGACAAUUAAAAGAGUAUCAUUCAUUGAUUCUUAUUCUUCACUUAGUGGAACAUUAGAACUCACACUUUUACAUCAACAAAAUUAAAUAGAAUGUUUUUUUAUAAAGUUAAAUUUUUCAUAAAUGAAAUAUUUUGGGCAUGGGUAAAUCCGAUUACAUAGAUAUUAUGAGUAUUAUCGUAUAAAGAACGUGUGUGAAUGGUGAGGGAGAUCGAGUGACCGAUCCCUCCUAAAACGUAAUUAAACUGUCUAUAUACAAUUACAAUUAGGAGGGAUUAAAUUAAACAGAAUAACUAACUUUCUGUUUAGUUUAUCCAAUUAGAAUAUUCUAGAAAUUAUACUUAAGUCUAAUUACAUUAAACUAUAGACUAGCAUAUCAUUAAGACCUACUUAACUCACUAAUAGAUAUUGGGAAUAAAAUAAAUUUCAUUAUUAUUUCAAAAUAUAUAUUUUUUUGAUGGAUUAAAGCUUUCAUUGUUGAAAAUAGAGUAGAGCAGAGCCCAAGAAACAUUUCAAAAUAUUUGCCUCCCAAGCAUUGUCUGCAUUUUACUUAAUCGAUGAUAGAUUAAGUUUUUUGAAGAAUGUUGUACUGACAUACAUACUAACAGCCUUUACUGCAUCCUUUAGUAUGGUCUCUGAGGUAUCAAAAUAUGCUGUCUCGGUCUUCUGUUUUCAACUUUUCCUCACAAGAGAUGUGCCAAGAGAUUCCAGCCAGCAGGGCCCAGUGCACUCCCCAGCAACCAGUGUGUUUGGUGAAUUUCAAGAUUGCCUCUGUGAUGUUCCCCAUCCUGAUAUCCUCUUCACGUCAUGGUAUAGGACUGUUUAGCACUUUCUAGACUGCCUGGCCCAAAUUCUCUGUCAUACCCAUCAAGACUUCCCUUGUAUAUGUGCAGUUGGAAAAAAAAGAUGAGCUAUAGUUUCCUCCACAUUGUUGCAAAGCAAGCGUGUGGUCUGAAUGUUUGCUCCCCAUUGAUGAAGUUUCUUGAAAAAAUUAAUUAACCCCCAUCUCACCCUCCACAAUAGUAGGUGUUUUGGAACAAAUUCCAUCAGUAAACAUCCUUGUGAGCCUUUCCUCUAAGUAUUUCAUAGUAAGUAUUGAGAGGUGUUAGGUGCACUAAGUUGUAAUUUGGGUUGGCAUUAUAGACAUUUUCCUAUGGUCUUCGUAGGUUCUUCAACCAUUAGUACCUUCCAUGUGGCUGAAUCAAUGUCCCCUAUCUCUUGGUUCCUAAUGUACCUAGUUUUAAUCCAGGUGCCUAAUAUAGACUGAUUAUUCUUCUAGUUUUUGGCUUCAUUUUUUACUAUGCACACAUCACUGAUGGGUUUGAAAAUCCCUAAUUUUCAUGCUGCCCUUAUCCUUAGAUAAUGUCAUUUCCUUCAAGGCAAUUCCAGGUUUUCUCCCAUAGUCCCAUUCAAUUUUAAAUUAUAAGCUCCUUUCUGGAUUUUACUUAUUACAGAUUUACAGAGGCAGGGGCCAGGCAGAGUUGUUCCUUGGGUCCAAAAUGUAAACUUCCCAACCAUGAUCACUAAUUGAGUCCUACCUCCAUAUGACGGCAUCUUCCUUUCUAUCUAGCCAGCAUUCUCUCAAUUGGUCCAAUCAGUUUCCAGCAUUGAGCAUGGGACUUCUUCUUUGCUGGAAUGUCCUGAAAACCAUAGUUUAAAAAAGGGAAAAGCGCUUCCACUUUUCAGGAAGAGAUUUUUCGCUUUGGGAGCUUUAAAGCGUUCAGAGCACCAGGAUAUUUUAGUAAUAUCCUGUAAAAAUACAUAUAAUCCUAUAUAAAUACACAAAACCUAUAGAAAAUUAAAAAUAUCAUAUAAAUGUAUAAAAUCAUAUGUAAUAUAACAAUAAAGAUUUAAUUCAUACAACUAAAAUUAAUUCUCACGAGCUUGUGGAAUUUCUUAUCGAACCGAGCCCGAGCUCAGCCAAAUUAAGCUUGGCGAGCUCGAGCAAAAGUAAUUCCUUAUCGAACCCAAGCCUAACUCUAAAAGCCAAAGCUCAGCUCGGCUCGUUUGACACCCUAAUCAAAGGCUUUAAAAAUAUCCUCUUGUACUAUUUGAGUAUUUGUCUGACCAUAAUGCCUAUUGGAGGCUGCAUAGAUUAUUACAGAUUUGGUUUGCACCAUUUGAAUGGAAAGGAAUAGGAAGAAAUUCGGUGAAAAGAAGGGGAUUGCUGUAUAUUUUUAUGAGAGCUUCUGAUAUUGUUUGACUUGCAUUUACAGCUGCUUGAUUAAAACGUAAAACAAUACAGUAGAUGUAUUAAAAGCGUAGUUUGAACUUUGAAAGGCUCCUGAUUACAAAGGAUACGAAGGCUAGGAGCAGGUAUUGAAAGAUGGGAGGAACCCCCAUCUCAAACUCCAUAGGAAGACAGAAAACCUAGUAGGCUUCUUGGACCAGAUUCCUAUGGCUAGGGGGUCAGGCUGCCUGGGGGUAGCUAAUGCUUUUUGGAACUUAAGUAUGGAGCUUCCUGCUUUCAAACCAGUAAGGCUUAGGUUAAAGUUAUUAAAACAGGACAUUAAUUUGUCAAUAUCAGAUUUACACUUGAGGACGUUCUUCCACAUAAUGGAAUCCCUAGUGGGGGAGACCUGGAUAUCAUCCAAACUUUUUCCUUUUAUAUACGUAUCUCUAACCCAGCAUGAGAGAAUAGACUCGCUAUUUGACAAGUAAUAGUGGGUCCUUUUGAUGUGAGAUGCAUAGGCACAUGCUUCAAAGUUCCUGACCCUUAGUCCUCCCAAGUCCCAACUGCUUCAAUGUUAUUAGUAUUGUUGUUAUUUGUAUGUUUUUGCAAGACCUGUAACAUAUAUAGAAUUUUUACAUAGUAUAUAUGCAUUUUUCGUAAAUAUAUGAAAUAUUUACGAAAAUGCCACUGGCGCAUUAGGCGUUUCCUGAAAAUAGGAAGCGCUUUGCUCUUUUUUGAAUCAUGAUUAAAAGAAGAAAAUUUAAAGUUCUCUACACAACAAAAUAAUUUAUUAAAAUCUGAUGCAAGCUGAUAUGAAUAAAAACUCAACCAAGUGUUAUAUAAAAAAUUAUGUAUAUGUCAAGGUUUAUUAUUGUGAUAUUCUGAUACCUUUUGGAAGAAAUAAGGAACAAAAAUUGAACUCUGAAAUAAAGAGAAGAGUAAUAUAUUGAUCGAUUCAGUAUCACCAAUGAUGCAUUGAUGCUUACCUUGAUAAAUAAGACCUUUCUCAUGAAGUCUUAUAAAUGCCUCAAUCACUGCUUCUGCAUCCAGUAAAUUUGUGUUUUGUUAAGAAAUGUAUGCAAGAAUCUGAUAUUCUAUUAUUUAAUUAAUCCCUGGUAAAAAGUUGGAAUACACUAGCUAUAGCAUACAGCCAUAUACUAUAUGUUAAAAAUAGUAAUACAAUAAAGGGGUUGAAAUAUAUUUUAUUAGUAUAAUCUAAGAAAAAUUUCAACAUUUUGUAAUAAGAAUACGUAAAACCAACAGUUUUUGGUCACAACUCACAAACAAGCAUGGGUUGUUGAAAAACUAAUUAAGAACAUUAUUAUUCCAUGAUUCCAUUUGCUUAUGCUAUGGAAAAUUGACAAUGAAUUCACUUUUUUGUUUUGAAAGCAAUAAAUUCACAUUUAAUAUUACAUAAUAUACAUAUAUUUACAAGGGAGAUAUAUUGACGUAUUCUGACCAUAGUUCCAAAAAGCGGAAAGCGCUCCCAAUUUCCAGGGAGCGCUUUUUCAGCUUUGACCGCUUUAGCGUCGCUUAAAGCGGUCAAAGCGGUAGUGGCAUAUGUGUAAAUAUAUGCAAUUUUUUUAUAAAUUGCAUAUAUACCCCUGUUUAUAUAUAUAAUUUUUCCAAAACCUGUACAUGUAUAAUUACCUAAAAAAUAUAUAUAAACCUGAUAAUUUUUGCAUAUCAUCUUAAAAAUACACAUCCAAAACAAAUACAUCCAAGUUAUUUGAAUCAUCCAAAACAAAAUCAUUAUCUAAAGUCUGAUCAUCUAUACGAGCAUCUACUUCAUGGCAUAUCUAUAUUAUCUAGAGGCUCUCUGAUAAUUUCCGCAAUUUCAUUCAUGGCAUAACGAUAUUGGGAUUCAGUUCCCAUAUCUGCAAAUGAAGUUCUCUGUCUUCCAUAAGUAUAUCCACGGGUUUGCCCACUCCUUGUUGACGGUCCCGGUUGUUCAGCAGCUCCUGAAGCUUCCUCCACCUGCGCCCAUGUUAGUCCAUCUGCCUCGGUGUAGACGAACUCGUCGCAUGCCCCUUCUAUGCCUGUCAUCCACUCGCUAUUGAAGUUCAUUGAGUCUACUCUUAUGGGAUCGAAUUUGCCAUUCGUUUCCAAUUCCAAUUGUCGGUGUCGUUGUGUACGUUCAUUUAAUUUCCUGUUGUACGUUAUGUACACCAGACGAUCCAAAUUUUUGGAAUUCAAUCGAUUCCUUUUCCUCGAAUGGAUCUGCAAAUAGUAUAUUAGGGUUAUGGUGAUGACCUAAUAUCUGAUAAAUAACCCUAAUUUACAAAUGGUAAUUAAGUUCUUACGUGUUCAAAUAAACUCCAAUUUCUCGCACAGCUGGAUGCAGAGGCCCAGAGAGCUAAGAUUCGCAUUGCNNNNNNNNNNNNNNNNNNNNNNNNNNNNNNNNNNNNNNNNNNNNNNNNNNNNNNNNNNNNNNNNNNNNNNNNNNNNNNNNNNNNNNNNNNNNNNNNNNNNAUUGUCAAUCAAAGGAGAAUUGUCAAUCAAAGGAGUCUUGUCUGUCAACCAUUCUGUAUUAAUGGAAUGGUGGUAUACUAAAGUAUUGUCUUCCACGGCCGGAGUAUCCGCUACUGCCGGAGGUGGAGGCGGAGGAGGCAUAGGUUCGCAAGGUGUUUCUUCGUCCGAAGCACCUUGCGUAGCGUCGUCGCUGCUGGUGUCAUUAAGAUCGCUAGCGACGACGUAUUCUUCAUCGGUAGACAUCAGGCCUGGUACAAAAAAAAAAAAAUUAAAAAAAAAAAAAGAUGGCCGGAAUCCGGCCUGUUAUGACCGGAAUCCGGCUAACCUAUUUCAAACUCGUUGAAAAAAAACACACCAGUUCGUCCAAGAGCUGGCAUGACACUGUUGAAAAAAAAAUGAAAAAAAAAAAUCGAGGAUGGCCGGAAUCCGGCAAAACAGUCCGGAAUCCGGCCAUCUUUUUCCCCCAUUUCAGACAGCCUCAAGGUGGGGAAAGAGAUCAAAACUAUGAAGAAAGAAGUUUCCAAUGAGAGGCGUUACCAAUGCAGGGAGAAGACGGCUGGAAACGCAACUCCGGCGACGGUUGGCCGAACUCCGGCGAGGGCGACGGCGAGGUCUAGGGUUUGAGUGAGAGGUUUGAGUGGAUGUGAGGGUUAGGGUAGAAAGGGCAAAAAAAAAACUAUUUAAGUUAUCCCUACACGGGUAAAUGGGUUGGCCCAACCCGUUUACCCGACCCGACCCAACUACCCACUGGAAUAAAGCGUUUGGCAAAGCGGUCCAAAAAAACCGCUUUGCCGCUUUUUUCGCUUAAAGCGACGCUUAAGCGUCGCUUUUUGAACUAUGAUUCUGACAACACAGUAACACACCAAUACUACGAAUUGGUAAGGGCAAUAAAUCAAUAGCACGAGAUUUACAAUCAUAUGAAAAACUCACGUGUUUUUGAAUCCACCAGAAACUAAAAUGACAAAAAAAAUCAACUUAAAAGUCAUCUGAAAAAAUAUUUUAGAAAUAAUAAGACUAUUUUUUUCAUGCCAAUAUUGAUCAUUUAAAGGCAAAUCGAUGUAGCUGCAUUGGAACCAUAGAUUAAAAAGCAACGCUUAAAGCGUCGCUUUAAUAGCUUAAAGCGGAAAAGCGCUCCUGGAGGAGCACUUUCCAAAUCGCUUUUUUUAAGCGGGCGAGUGGGUCGGGUUGGGUCAGGUUAGUGGGUUUCUACCCAUCACCGGGCAGUAGAAGCUUGGAGAAGGGAGGAGGAGAAAGAUCUGUAAGCUGCAGUAGAAGCAAACUCUUCAAACAGAUUUCUUCCUCUUUUAUAGCUGCUGGAAGUUUCUCAUGGUCCAGCACCUGUCUGGCCAGGUGUCUUCCCAAAUUAGACACCUGGUUGGUUUGUUACACCUAUAAAUAUUCAUCACCUGGUUGGUUUGUUAAACGGUGUGACAAGUUAUAUUACACCUAUAAAUAUUACAUGUUUACUGUAAUAAAUGUUAUAUUACACCUAUAAAUAUUUAUAACAGGGGUAUAUAUUUGAAAAAUAUAUAUUUAUAGGAUUUGAAAAAAAAAAUACAGGAAUAUAUAUGCAAUUUUCUAAAAAAUUGCAUAUAUUUACGAAAAUGCCAUUAUCGCUUUUUUAGCUUUAAGCGCGCUAAAGCGCUUAAAGCUAAAAAAGCGCUAAUUGGAAAUUGGGAGCGCUUUAUGCUUUUUAAAACUAUGAUUGGAACAAUAAAUGACCAAAGUUGCAUUGCAACAAUGCAAAUCGAUGCAUUGCUACAAAGUAAGAUUGGCUCACUGGUCUCAUGAACUAUUAAAAUUUCUGAGGUCCAGGAUUCAAAUCUUACUUUGUACAUUUCCACUUAGAUUUACCCGAUGAUAUAUUAUGUGGCUCUGGUAUAUCAUCCGAAGGUUGACAGCUCUACAUCUGUAGAGAGGUACCCUCCGUUAUCAAAAAAAAAAAAAUUGGAACAAUAAAUGACCCUUCAUACAAAACAUAACAAGAACUGCUUACUGCUGAGCUGGUCAUCAAGAGUGAAACGUUCUUUACUCCAAUCACAUGACGCUCCCAGUCGCUUAAUUUGAUUUGUGAUUUCUGAACCAUACCUACAAAAUACCAAAAAAUAAUAAUCUAGCAGAAUGAAAAUUUCGAUUUGUUUUCAGAUAGGUAAAAGCAAGGUUUUUGAUUUGUCGCAUAUGCGACCAGGCGCAAACCCCCCAUCGCAUAUUAUGGGGCUUAGCCGGAUCCGGGUCGGAUCCAGCUAAACCCGAUCCAUUUACCCAAGUAAAAAUUAUAAAAUUGAAAUAAUUAAAUGAAUAAUAUUAUUUUUUUACAACUUAAGGACCUUAUAAAAAAUACCCAAUUAAAUAAAAAAUAAUUCUAAAUCUAAAAACUUAGAACUAAGUGUUUGAAUUACACUUGUACUUUGAUGUUUGAAAGUAAUACUUUUGUUGUUUUGAAUGUUUCUUUAAGUUUUUGAGAUUUUAAGAGUUUAAGUAUCAUUAAUCACUAUAUUAUUUCAAUUAUGAUUUUUAUUAUGACUUAUAAUAUCAGGGAUUUAUUUAAAAUAUAGAAAAUACAGGGGGU
rnacentral:lncRNA from 1 species